UGUGCAGGCGGGACUGCAAGUCAGAAGUGAAAAUCAUGGGCUCAACUCAUGACCUGCUUUUGAAACUGUGGUUCUUGAGGGUCGGAGAGGUUACUGGAAUUCCCGGUGUAGCGGUGAAAUGCGUAGAUAUCGGGAGGAAUACCGGUGGCGAAGGCGAGUAACUGGACGAAACCUGACGCUGAGACACGAAAGUGCGGGGAGCAAACA
rnacentral:rRNA from 1 species